CAAUAGCGUAUAUUAAAGUUGUUGCGGUUAAAAAGCUCGUAGUUGGAUUUCUGUUGAGGACGACCGUUCCGCCCUCUGGGUGAGUAUCUGGUUCGGCCUUGGCAUCUUCUUGGAGAACGUUGCUGCACUUGAUUGUGUGGUGCGGUAUCCAGGACUUUUACUUUGAGGAAAUUAGAGUGUUUCAAGCAGGCACACGCCUUGAAUACAUUAGCAUGGAAUAAUAAGAUAGGACCUCGGUUCUAUUUUGUUGGUUUCUAGAGCUGAGGUAAUGAUUAAUAGGGAUAGUUGGGGGCGAUUCGUAUUUGACUGUCAGAGGUGAAAUUCUUGGAUUUGUUGAAGACGAACCACUGCGAAAGCAUCUGCCAAAGAUGUUCUCAUUGAUCAAGAACGAAAGUUAGGUGAUCGAAGACGAUUAGAUACCACU
rnacentral:rRNA from 1 species